rnacentral:rRNA from 1 species
UACGUAGGGUGCGAGCGUUAAUCGGAAUUACUGGGCGUAAAGCGUGCGCAGGCGGUUUUGUAAGACAGGCGUGAAAUCCCCGAGCUCAACUUGGGAAUUGCGCUUGUGACUGCAAGGCUAGAGUGUGUCAGAGGGGGGUAGAAUUCCACGUGUAGCAGUGAAAUGCGUAGAUAUGCGGAGGAACACCGAUGGCGAAGGCAAUCCCCUGGGCCUGCACUGACGCUCAUGCACGAAAGCGUGGGGAGCAAACAGG